rnacentral:misc_RNA from 1 species
UAAUUUGGAUAUUGGUGUUUCCUGCAACUCAAUGCAAAUCACCAGCAUUCUAAAUCUAUGGUAAGCAUUGAAAAUAAAAGCAAGAAUAAUCAAACGGAGGCUUGAUAUUUGGACAAGUAGAAAAUAUACAAUCAAAUAAUUAGCGACUUUUUAAAUAAUUGUGAUUAAAUUUACUUAAUUGUACAGACUAAUUAUUAUUAGAGAGGAAUCAUUUGUUCAUAUAGUGGAAUUGAUUUCUUAUGCGUUGAAGUUUAGUCCCCCCUUGGGCAUAGAAUAUGCAUAUGAAAAAUAAGUUUUAAGGUGCAAGAUAAUUUUUUUCCCUACAUGCUUUAGUUAUCAUAUUUGGUGUUAUCCAUUGUUAUUUUUAAUUGUUAAAGGAUAUGGCUCCUGAUAAGAGUUGGAUGGGAAUUGAGAAUAGAAAGGACCUAGAUAUAUUCAUGGAGUUGAAGGUUUUCUGACAUAUGCAUUUAGGCAUGAAUCAAAAGAAGAUGCGAUUUCAUGUCCUUGCUUAAAAUGUAGAAAUGUCAAUUACAAGCAGAAAUUUGAAGUUAGGUACCAUUUGUUAAAGCAUGGAAUUCUCAAAUCUUAUACCAUUUGGUAUUUCCAUGGAG